AUACGGAGGGUGCAAGCGUUAUUCGGAAUCACUGGGCGUAAAGCGCGCGCAGACGGCUAUUUAAGUUGGAUGUGAAAGCCUAUGGCUCAACCAUAGAACUGCAUCCAAAACUAUUUAGCUAGAGUGUGGGAGAGGAAGAUGGAAUUAGUUGUGUAGGGGUAAAAUCCGUAGAGAUAACUAGGAAUACCAAAAGCGAAGGCAAUCUUCUGGAACACUACUGACGCUGAGGCGCGAAAGCGUGGGGAGCAAACAGGAUUAGAAACCCUAGUAGUCC
rnacentral:rRNA from 1 species